CGCAUCUGUGCAUGCAGCAUAUCAAUAAGCGGAGGAAAAGAAACUAACAAGGAUUCCCUUAGUAACGGCGAGUGAAGCGGGAAGAGCUCAAAUUUGAAAUCUUCAAGGUUUUACCUUGACGAAUUGUAGUUUAAAGAAGUGUUUUCUGCUGAAGUUUUGGUAAAAGUUCUUUGGAAUAGGACAUCAUAGAGGGUGAGAAUCCCGUAUUUGACCAUUAUUUUCAGCUUUGUGAUACACUUUCAAAGAGUCGGAUUGUUUGGGAAUGCAGUCCAAAAUGGGUGGUAAAUUUCAUCUAAAGCUAAAUAUUGGCGAGAGACCGAUAGCGAACAAGUACCGCUGAGGGAAAGAUGAAAAGAACUUUGAAAAGAGAGUUAAACAGUACGUGAAAUUGUCAAAAGGGAAGCGUUUGACACCAGUGUUGUUUUCUCGAAAAUCAAUUAAAAAUGGCUCGAUUUUGUAUUGCUGAGACCUUAAAAGCUCACUGUACAUUUUUCGUGUCUUUUUUAAUGCACUUUUCGUUUAACAAGUCAACAUCAGUUUCUUUUGUUGUAAAAGGGUCAUUGGAAGGUGGCUUUCUUUUCGGAGAAAGUGUUUAUAGCCUUUGGCCUCUGCAAUCGAAGAGACUGAGGUCUGCAGCGUAGACUCUUCGGGGUUAGAUACAUUUGUGCUAAGUUAUAGCUUUUUAUAGACAACUUGUUGACUAUAAUUAGUCUUGUAGCUUACUCGCUUAUGCUAUUUUACCUACGCUUAGGAUGUUGAUAGUCACAGCGUGUAC
rnacentral:rRNA from 1 species